CAAAAUCAUUCUAAAACUAACUGUCGUCAGCAGAACAGCUCGGAGACGGGAAAAAAAUAUUUAUAUUUUUUAAAAAAGGAUAUCCGAAAAAGAAUCGAAACCGCUUGGAAGUAAAAGUCAAAUCAUCAAUAAACAUAUAUAUUUUUCUACCGGACAGCAUAACAAAUAAUAAAUUAGAGGACUGGAUUCCAAACCAGGCAAAAAGUAUGUGAAAAUCAUCAAUCAAAGCAUGCUUGAAAUAAAUGAACGAUAUACUGAACUUUAAACAGAUAACAUCUAACCAGGAAACAUUUUUGUUUUUCUAAAACGAAUUCAUUGAUAAUAAUAAGGUAAGC